rnacentral:rRNA from 1 species
UUUUGUGACCAUUGGCAUCCCAAAUCUCAUAUGGUCUCGGAAGCUAAGCAAAGUUUGGUUUGGUAAGUACUUGGAUAGGAGACCCCCAAGCAAUUCCAGGUGCUAGAAGAU